rnacentral:pre_miRNA from 1 species
UGCCUCCCUCUGUGGGGCAAUCGAUCGCGGGGCCCCCAGAUAGAUUGCUCCGCAGAGGGAGGCC